rnacentral:rRNA from 1 species
UGGGGAAUAUUGCGCAAUGGGGGAAACCCUGACGCAGCGACGCCGCGUGAGCGAAGAAGGCCUUAGGGUUGUAAAGCUCUGUUUUAGGGGACGAAUGUCGUGGGGAGUAAUAUGACCUACGAAUGACGGUACCCUAAGAGGAAGCCCCGGCUAACUACGUGCCAGCAGCCGCGGUAAGACGUAGGGGGCGAGCGUUGUCCGGAAUUACUGGGCGUAAAGAGCACGUAGGCGGGAACUUAAGUCAGGUGUGAAAGACCGGGGCUCAACGCCGGGUGUGCACUUGAAACUGGGUUUCUUGAGGGCAGGAGAGGAAAGCAGAAUUCCUGGUGUAGCGGUGAAAUGCGUAGAAAUCAGGAGGAAUACCAGUGGCGAAGGCGGCUUUCUGGACUGACCCUGACGCUGAGGUGCGAAAGCGUGGGUAGCAAACAG